UGGGGAAUAUUGCACAAUGGGCGCAAGCCUGAUGCAGCAACGCCGCGUGAGGGACGACGGCCUUCGGGUUGUAAACCUCUUUUGGCAGGGAAGAAGCGAAAGUGACGGUACCUGCAGAAAAAGCACCGGCUAACUACGUGCCAGCAGCCGCGGUGAUACGUAGGGUGCAAGCGUUGUCCGGAAUUAUUGGGCGUAAAGAGCUCGUAGGCGGUGUGUCGCGUCUGCUGUGAAAACCCGAGGCUCAACCUCGGGCCUGCAGUGGGUACGGGCAAACUAGAGUGCGGUAGGGGAGAUUGGAAUUCCUGAUGUAGCGGUGGAAUGCGCAGAUAUCAGGAGGAACACCGAUGGCGAAGGCAGAUCUCUGGGCCGUAACUGACGCUGAGGAGCGAAAGCAUGGGGAGCGAACA
rnacentral:rRNA from 1 species